AGAAUCAACGCUGGCGGCGUGCCUAACACAUGCAAGUCGCACGAGAAAGUGGAGCAAUCCACGAGUACAGUGGCGCACGGGUGAGUAACACGUGAAUGAUCUACCUCCGAGUGGGAAUAACUGAGAGAAAUCUUAGCUAAUACCGCAUAAUACCCACGGGUCAAAGCAGCAAUGCGCUUGGAGAGGAGUUCGCGGCCGAUUAGUUAGUUGGCGGGGUAAUGGCCCACCAAGACGAUGAUCGGUA
rnacentral:rRNA from 1 species